rnacentral:tRNA from 1 species
GGGCGAUUAGCUCAGCGGGAGAGCGUUCCGUUCACACCGGAAAGGUCGCAGGUUCAAUCCCUGCAUCGCCCA